rnacentral:rRNA from 1 species
CCUACGGGAGACUGCAGUGAGGAAUAUUGGUCAAUGGACGAGAGUCUGAACCAGCCAAGUAGCGUGAAGGAUGACUGCCCUAUGGGUUGUAAACUUCUUUUAUAUGGGAAUAAAACGUUCCACGUGUGGGAUUUUGUAUGUACCAUAUGAAUAAGGAUCGGCUAACUCCGUGCCAGCAGCCGCGGUAAUACGGAGGAUCCGAGCGUUCUCCGGAUUUAUUGGGUUUACAGGGAGCGUAGGUGGAUUGUUAAGUCAGUUGUGAAAGUUUGCGGCUCAACCGUAAAAUUGCAGUUGAAACUGGCAGUCUUGAGUACAGUAGAGGUGGGCGGAAUUCGUGGUGUAGCGGUGAAAUGCUUAGAUAUCACGAAGAACUCCGAUUGCGAAGGCAGUUCACUGGACUGCAACUGACACUGAGGCUCGAAAGUGUGGGUAUCAAACAGGAUUAGAUACCCCUGUAGUC